ACAAUCACUGGGUAGUGUUCUAUCCACCCCCCACCAACCCAGUCUCCAGGCAUCUGCCCUGAUGGCCUCCAGGGCCCCCUCUGUGACUGCAGAGAUGGCGGCCUGCUCUCCAGGUCAGGCCAGUUCCCGAGAGCCCCGAGGUCCGGCUGUCAUUCCAUGAGCGCCCAGCUCCGGAGCUGCCACCUCAGGCCUCUGGAAGUUUGCAGCCUGAGCGACCGUCUUCAGACCACUGCGCCUGAGUGCGCAAGAGGCUCCAGGCCUUUCCACGCCUCCCAGAGCCAGGGAACAGCAGGGGCCAAGAGCAGCCUGUGGCUCCCCUGUGGCAAGGACAGCCGAUUGAGGCCAAGGGCAGGCCUGAGAGAUCACACACCUAUUUUCUUUGCCUAAAACGUUUCAUUUAACCCUGACUUAAAAGGGUGUUCGGGGAGCAUCUUGCUGGAAAUCCCAAAUAUAAUGAAAGAAUCCACAACAGAGGCAAACAGAGACCUGUUCCCAGCUGCAUCCUGGGGAGGUAGCAAGACAGCACCCCUUUGCCCAGCUCAGCAAAGGGCCAGGGCAGCAGAGGUGGCUGUGCGCAGGGUGAGGCAGCAAGGGUGGGAGCUUCCAGAACUUCAGGGAAGGCAGCAAAAGAGGUAAGCGACCACAGAGUGCCAAGAGGGGCGCAGGGAAGCUCAACUCUACGGCCAGAACCCAGCCACCCUGCAGUCAGGGUGACUGCACCCAGGGCCUGCAGGGGUAGAGGAUGGCUCAGUACACCAUGGGCCUCCCCAGUACACACUCAUCCCCCUCCCUAGACACCCCCCCAACCCAGGGAGCCUGGCCCUCAGCAAGUUUCCUGGGACUCAGCCUUGCCAUGGGAAAGGAGGCUAGAGGCAGCCACAGGGAGGUCCGGGAAGAAGGCCUGACUCAUUUGAGGGCAACCUCCUGCCACCUGCUGGAAUGGGGACCUAAGUAGGCAUUUAGACCAGUUCAGUAAAGAAAAAAAAAAGAAGAAUGGAAGAAAGCUGGCUGGGCAUGGUGGCUCACAUCUGCAGCACUGUGGGAGGCCGAGGCAAGCAAACUAUGUGAGGUCAGGAGUUCGAGAGCAGCCUGGCCAACAAGUGAGAGUUUGAGGACAGAGGUUUGUACCAACCACACUAUCAUCUCCCUUCUCUGCCUCUCUGCCCAUCAUGCGGCUGUGAGGACUGCAGCCCAGGAAGAAAUUGUUCAACUUUAAACUUGAAAGGAAGUAGGAGAGAAAGAAGGAGGAAGAAUGAAGCCUGCACCAGAAUCCACACUCUGUCAUUCUCAGCACUGCCCUCGGAGAGCUCCAUUCUAAGCAGAGUUUUCUUAUAAAUAAUAUCAGCAGUGGCUUGGACUUAUUGUUGUGGCCUCUGGAAGAUCUUGGGCACAGUGUAACUUCCUGGGGUCCGUAUCUGUUAGUCAGAUAAUGAACUGUUCGUGAAGGACAGCGCUCAUUGUGAAGGUCCAGAUGAACUCCUCUCACCUCUUCUGGUGCUGACCAUGGAGUUUCCUCACAUGUGGAGAGAAAGCCAACAGUGGAAGGAAAAUGUAAACGUUGAGUAAUUAAGACCUGAAAUCAGAAUGUCUAAACAGCAUGGUCCAGAUGCCAGGCUGUGCAUCCCACCCUCUGCGGAAGGAAGACCGAUGGAUGUCUGUGCAGCAGAGGACCGCUUGCUCCAAAAAGUCACCCUGCAUUCUUCUAGAGAGCGAGGGCUGGCAAGGGGUCUUAAAAACCACUUGAUUCAAUUCCUUUAUUUUACCAAUGCAAAGAAACUAUGAUUCAAAAAUUGCUUGACUUUUCUAAUUUCACACAGUGAAAUAGCA